rnacentral:misc_RNA from 1 species
UCGUACAAAAUGUGUAGAGGCAUGCCGGAGUUGUCGCUGACCGAAAAGUCGUGCACGCCACAGUGUGUCCUCUCACAUAACAAUCCAUCUCACCCUUUGUGCACCACCGCGUGGGCACCCUCUGGGAUCGCACCGAUCUCAGAGGGGACUCGCGUUUUCACACAAAAACCCCCCCUUUGAAAAAGUAUAGAAUGUACUCAUUUACGCAAUCAAUA